rnacentral:rRNA from 1 species
UACGAAGGGGGCUAGCGUUGUUCGGAUUUACUGGGCGUAAAGCGCACGUAGGCGGGUCGUUAAGUCGGGGGUGAAAUCCUGGAGCUCAACUCCAGAACUGCCUUCGAUACUGGCGACCUAGAGUCCGGAAGAGGUGAGUGGAACUCCUGGUGUAGAGGUGGAAUUCGUAGAUAUUAGGAAGAACACCAGUGGCGAAGGCGGCUCACUGGUCCGGUACUGACGCUGAGGUGCGAAAGCGUGGGGAGCAAACAGG